rnacentral:pre_miRNA from 1 species
UACUUGUUAGAAGGUUACGUAUUAACUCAGGACUUUGUUAUUUCUUGCCUGAACUAUUUCAGUAGCUUCCUAACUGGUCUC